rnacentral:rRNA from 1 species
UACGGAGGACCCAAGCGUUAUUCGGAUUUAUUGGGUUUAAAGGGUGCGUAGGCGGAUUAGUAAGUCAGAGGUGAAAUCCCACAGCUUAACUGUGGAACUGCCUUUGAUACUGCUAACCUUGAGUACAGAUGAUGUGGGCGGAAUAUGACAUGUAGCGGUGAAAUGCUUAGAUAUGUCAUAGAACACCGAUUGCGAAGGCAGCUCACAAAACUGUAACUGACGCUGAGGCACGAAAGCAUGGGGAUCGAAC